UUCAUGGAGCAGCUGGUACGGGAACCCACAAGGGGAGAGGCAACUCUAGAUUUAGUCCUGAGUGGAGCGCAGGAGCUGGUCCAAGAGGUAACUAUAACAGGACCACUUGGAAAUAGUGACCAUAAUACAAUAGCAUUCAACAUCCCUGUGGUGGGAAGAACAUCUCAACAUCCCAACACUGUGGCAUUUAAUUUCAAAAGGGGGAACUAUGCAAAAAUGAGGGGGUUAGUUAAACAGAAGUUAAAAAGUACAGUGACUAAAGUGAAAUCCCUGCAAGCUGCAUGGGCGCUUUUUAAAGACACCAUAAUAGUGGCCCAACUUCAAUGUAUACCCCAAAUUAAGAAACACAGUAAAAGAACUAAAAAAGAGCCACCGUGGCUUAACAACCAUGUAAAAGAAGCAGUGAGAGAUAAAAAGACUUCCUUUAAAAAGUGGAAGUCAAAUCCUAGUGAGGCAAAUAGAAAGGAGCAUAAACGCUGCCAAAUUAAGUGCAAGAAUGUAAUAAGAAAAGCCAAAGAGGAGUUUGAAGAACGGCUAGCCAAAAACUCCAAAGGUAAUAACAAAAUGUUUUUUAAGUACAUCAGAAGCAGGAAGCCUGCCAAACAACCAGUGGGGUCCCUUGAUGAUCGAGAUACAAAAGGAGCGCUUAAAGACGAUAAAGUCAUUGUGGAGAAACUAAAUGGAUUCUUUGCUUCAGUCUUCACAGCUGAGGAUGUUAGGGAGAUUCCCAAACCUGAGCCGGCUUUUGUAGGUGACAAAUCUGAGGAACUGUCACAGAUUGAAGUGUCACUAGAGGAGGUUUUGGAAUUAAUUGAUAAACUUAACAUUAACAAGUCACCAGGACCAGAUGGCAUUCACCCAAGAGUUCUGAAAGAACUCAAAUGUGAAGUUGCGGAACUAUUAACUAAGGUUUGUAACCUAUCCUUUAAAUCGGCUUCUGUACCCACUGACUGGAAGUUAGCUAAUGUAACAUAUUUAUUUAUUUAAAAAGGGCUCUAGAGGUGAUCCCGGCAAUUACAGACUGGUAAGUCUAAUGUCGGUACCGGGCAAAUUAGUCGAAACAAUAGUAAAGAAUAAAAUUGUCAGACACAUAGAAAAACA
rnacentral:lncRNA from 1 species